GCACUUUUUUAUAUAUUUUCUGUGACCUCUGUAUAACCUAUUGACUAUACCAAACAUACCAAAUUCUGAAAAAACUAAGCUCUGAAACAGUAUUGUGUCUUUUGUCAUUUGUGACCUGUGCUUACUAAAACAGACAUGUGGUGUACUCUGUAAAUGAGGAGACAUACCCUAAAUCAUUUUUAAGCAUUUUUCUUUAGCUGUGCUGUUUAUGUGCAAAUUAUUAUAUGGAAAAUGUUG